rnacentral:rRNA from 1 species
CCUACGGGUGGCAGCAGUGAGGACUAUUGGUCAAUGGCCGGGAGGCUGAACCAGCCAAGUCGCGUGAGGGAAGACGGCCCUACGGGUUGUAAACCUCUUUUGUCAGGGAGCAAGGUGCAGGUCGGGACCUGCUGUGAGAAUACCUGAAGAAAAAGCAUCGGCUAACCCCGUUCCAGCAGCCGCGGUAAUACGGAGGAUGCGCGCGUUAUCCGGAUUUAGUGGGUUUUAAUGGUGACCAGGCGGAGGCACAAGUCCGCGGUAAAAUCGCGGGGCUCAACCCCGCUCCGCCGUUGAAACUGUGUCCCUUGAGUGCGCGAUGGGUAGGAGGAAUGCGUGGUGUAGCGGUGAAAUGCAUAGAUAUCACGAAGAACUCCGAUCGAGAAGGCAGACUACCGGCGCGCAACUGACGCGCAUGCACGAAAGCGUGGGUAUCGAACAGGAUUAGAUACCCCAGUAGUC